rnacentral:rRNA from 11 species
CUUCAGGGAUGAAUGGCUUAAUUCUAGCUACGAUGGAAGGCCAUGCAGAAGUCGUCAAAUAUCUCGUAGAAGAAGCAAAUAUUGAUAUAAAUGGCCAUCUUUCUAAUGGAGCAUGCGCCAUGGUGUUCG